rnacentral:rRNA from 1 species
GACGAACGCUGGCGGCGCGCUUAACACAUGCAAGUCGAGCGAAGCGGCGGACGGGUGAGUAACACGUGAGUAACCUGCCUUAGACAUUGGGAUAGCCUCGGGAAACCGGGAUUAAUACCAAAUGGUCUAAGAUGGACUCGCGUCCCAUUAGCUAGUUGGUGAGGUAACGGCCCACCAAGGCGACGAUGGGUAGCCGGCGUGAGAGGGUGAACGGCCACUUUGGAGCUGAGAAACGGUCCAAACUCUACGGGAGGGAGGAGUGGCGAAUAGUGCACAAUGGAGGGAAUGAUGAUGGUGCGCCGCCGGGAGAACGAAGAAGGCUUUCGAGUCGUAAAGUUCUUUUAUAUGAGAAGCGGUACCAUAAGAAAAAGCCCCGGCUAACUACGUGCCAGCAGCCGCGGUAAUAC